rnacentral:piRNA from 1 species
UAGUGGGGAGAUAUAAAAACAAGG